rnacentral:rRNA from 1 species
UACGGUGAAUACGUUCCCCGGGACCUUGCACACACCGCCCGUCAAGCCAUGGAAGCCGGGUGUACCUAAAGUCGGUAACCGUAAGGAGCCGCCUAGGGUAAACUGGUGACUAGGGCU